rnacentral:rRNA from 1 species
GUCUUAAAAAAGAAUAGAUACGAUUGCAUGUAGUAACGGAUGCGAUUAUACCAGCAUUAAUGCACCAGAUCCCAUCAGAAAUCUGCAGUUAAGCGUGCUUUGGCGAGAGUUGUACUAGGAUGGGUGACCUACAGGAAAGUCCUCGUGUUGCAUUCCUC